UUCCUAACUUGCUUAAAUACGAUUUAAUCCGUUCCGAUUAAAUUUUACUUACUCUAAUUGUUAUUAAGACGUGUGAGAAUAAUUUCACGUAUAUAAUUUUGACAUGACAAAUUAAACAAAACAAAGAGGUCACCUAAAAACUAACAGGGCAUAAAUACCUAAACCACUUCAAAAAAAAAAGCCAGGUAGUAGUGGUAUUGUCUGAGGACUAGUAGGUAUAGUGAGGACUACCUACUGAAAAAAAAAAACAGUUCGAAAUACAAAAAUAGGUAAUGCCCAUUACUAAAAUACAGAUGAUUACGUAAUAAAAAUAUUGUUUCACACGAUCUAACCGCAAACUUGUCUUUUGUUUGCACACGUCUGUGUGUAUAUAUAAAUACCAGCAAAUAGGUUUUUGUAAUACGAAGGUGACCUUAACAUGACUUAUGUAAUAAAACUUCAGUUUGUGAUUAAAUAAUUUUUUUAACGACACCAAUGCUAAGCACCCAAAUAUCCAAAUUGUCUAAAUAUCCUAAAAUAUAUAUGUAUAUCCUGGAUAAAUAUUCAAAAUUUUUUAUCACAAUAAAAAAUUUUUAAUCCAAAUACGCACACUUUUUGACAUGAGUUAAUUACAUAGAUGUGUGGACGAGCUCACAGCUCACAUGGUGUUAAGUGGUUACCGGAGCCCAUAGACAUCUACAACGUAGAUUCCACCACCCACCUUGAGAUAUGAGUUCUAAGGUCUCAGUAUAGUUACAACGGCUGCCCCACCCUUCAAACUGAAACGCAUUACUACUUCACGGCAGAAAUAGGUAGGGUGGUGGUACCUACUCGUGCGAACUCACAAGAGGUCCUACCACCAUUGUUAAAAAUAACCUU